CUGAAGAUGGCGGCCGGCGCACGGGUGAGUAACACGUAUCCAACCUGCCGAUAACUCUGGAAUAGCCUUUCGAAAGAAAGAUUAAUACCGGAUAGUAUACGAAUAUCGCAUGAUAUUUUUAUUAAAGAAUUUCGGUUAUCGAUGGGGAUGCGUUCCAUUAGUUUGUUGGCGGGGUAACGGCCCACCAAGACUACGAUGGAUAGGGGGUUCUGAGAGGAAGGUCCCCCCACAUUGGAACUGAGACACGGUCCAAACUCCUACGGGAGGCAGCAUG
rnacentral:rRNA from 1 species